rnacentral:rRNA from 1 species
GACGAACGCUGGCGGCGUGCUUAACACAUGCAAGUCGAACGGAAAGGCCCUGCUUUUGUGGGGUGCUCGAGUGGCGAACGGGUGAGUAACACGUGAGUAACCUGCCCUUGACUUUGGGAUAACUUCAGGAAACUGGGGCUAAUACCGGAUAGGAGCUCCUGCUGCAUGGUGGGGGUUGGAAUGCUUCGGCGGUUGGGGAUGGACUCGCGGCUUAUCAGCUUGUUGGUGGGGUAGUGGCUUACCAAGGCUUUGACGGGUAGCCGGCCUGAGAGGGUGACCGGCCACAUUGGGACUGAGAUACGGCCCAGACUCCUACGGGAGGCAGCAGUGGGGAAUAUUGCACAAUGGGCGGAAGCCUGAUGCAGCAACGCCGCGUGCGGGAUGACGGCCUUCGGGUUGUAAACCGCUUUCGCCUGUGACGAAGCGUGAGCGACGGUAAUGGGUAAAGAAGCACCGGCUAACUACGUG